CUAUAGCUUGACACUGAACAUUGAGCCUUGAUGUGUAGGAUAGGUGGGAGGCUUUGAAGUGUGGACGCCAGUCUGCAUGGAGCCGACCUUGAAAUACCACCCUUUAAUGUUUGAUGUUCUAACGUGGACCCGUGAUCCGGGUUGCGGACAGUGUCUGGUGGGUAGUUUGACUGGGGCGGUCUCCUCCUAAAGAGUAACGGAGGAGCACGAAGGUUGGCUAAUCCUGGUCGGACAUCAGGAGGUUAGUGCAAUGGCAUAAGCCAGCUUGACUGCGAGCGUGACGGCGCGAGCAGGUGCGAAAGCAGGUCAUAGUGAUCCGGUGGUUCUGAAUGGAAGGGCCAUCGCUCAACGGAUAAAAGGUACUCCGGGGAUAACAGGCUGAUACCGCCCAAGAGUUCAUAUCGACGGCGGUGUUUGGCACCUCGAUGUCGGCUCAUCACAUCCUGGGGCUGAAGUAGGUCCCAAGGGUAUGGCUGUUCGCCAUUUAAAGUGGUACGCGAGCUGGGUUUAGAACGUCGUGAGACAGUUCGGUCCCUAUCUGCCGUGGGCGCUGGAGAACUGAGGGGGGCUGCUCCUAGUACGAGAGGACCGGAGUGGACGCAUCACUGGUGUUCGGGUUGUCAUGCCAAUGGCACUGCCCGGUAGCUAAAUGCGGAAGAGAUAAGUGCUGAAAGCAUCUAAGCACGAAACUUGCCCCGA
rnacentral:rRNA from 1 species